AAUACCACAACCUGACUGAUAAAUGCCGUGAAGGUCUGGCCUCUGGACCCAUUUCAAAGCUGGAUCUAAGCGGCAACGAACCAGGAGAAGCAGGGCUGCUUCUGUUUAUCGAUGGACUGCCGGUUCCCAAGUGCGACCUGCGUACCUUAAAGCUCUCAAAUUCUAAGAUGGACUAGGAACUCUGUCGCCGCCUGCCAAGGUAUAUGUUAAAGAAACCCACGUUCCUGAGAGAACUGGACAUCGGCAUGAAUGACAUGGGGGACUCGGGGAUGCAGACCGUUAUGUUGGCGCUAAAGUUCACUUUGUCGUCAUGCCUGUCCUCCCAUCUUCUCCUGGUCUCCCUUUGCCCUCAUCACCGCCCCCU
ensembl:lncRNA